rnacentral:rRNA from 1 species
AUUGCACGCUGGCGGCAGGCCUAACACAUGCAAGUCGAACGAGUGGCGGACGGGUGAGUAAUGUCUGGGAAACUGCCCGAUGGAGGGGGAUAACUACUGGCACCGGUAGCUAAUACCGCAUACCAUCGGAUGUGCCCCGAUGGGAUUAGCUAGUAGGUGGGGUAACGGCUCACCUAGGCGACGAUCCCUAUCUGGUCUGAGAGGAUGACCAGGCACACGGGAACUGAGACACGGUCCAGACUCCUACGGGAGGCAGCAGUGGGGAAUAUUGCACAAUGGGCGAAAGCCGGAUGCAGCCAGGCCGCGUGUAUGAAGAAGGCCUUCGGGUUGUAAAGUACUUUCAGCGAGGAGGCGUUACUCGCAGAAGAAGCACCGGCUAACUCCGUGCCAGCAGCCGCGGUAAUAC